rnacentral:lncRNA from 1 species
GACUGAAAGGUGCAUUUCUGCAGAGCUGGGAGGACUGUCCUUGCUCUGCAGAUGCUGCCCUGGGCUGAUGAGAACCACCUUGCAUGAGAUCACACCCUUUUCCUGCAAAACCUGAAGUCUAAUGACUGGCUGACAAGUCAGGAGCAUGGCAGCCUGACCUCCUGCUCCAACUCAGCAGGAUUCUGAAAACGAUGCCAGCUUCCAUGGGAUAAGAGCCACAUUGUUCAAUUUCUCCUCUGGCCCCUGCUGCUUCCUCCCUGGUUGGAUCACCAGAGUGCCCCUAACCAACGUCCACCAUGCUGAUGUGCCCCUCACCGUCUGCUUCAGGAACCCACCCUGAUGCCAGAAGUGGUUCCAGAAAGCAAGGCUAAUUAAUAUAAUUUCAGAACUGGACCACCCACUGCCCAGCUAGCAGUGAAUCUCUAUCACGCAGCUCGAGGUUCAAAGCAGCAGAGAACUGGGGCAGGAAAUGCAUGGCCCGUGCAUUUCCACUGGCUGUUUGAGAAAUACAAACAGGAAAGAGCCAUUCUGAAGAGCAAAAUUUCCUGUCCAGGUACUAAGAUAGCAUCUGCUCCCACCUCUACUGCACGAGACCCCAUGUCUACCCAACAGGAUGAUAAGUGCUAGAAGUUUAGAAACCCGUGACCUCUCCCUGAUGUCCAUGAGAUUCAUUUUCCCUCAAGAUCUAUUGAACCCAUUCAGGCAGGGGCAAGGCAGGGCAGAACUGAAUUCACACAAUAGGAGCCAGUUUACUGUGAAAAGCAGGUCCAGAAAGAACGCAUCAGGAGCCAUGAGCAGGAGAUGAUUUCAGUGCUCCAGGAGUCGCCAUUCACAUCCAGAACCAGAGUCAGAAGACAGAGGGGUGGCUCCAUGGUGGAGUCUGGCCUCCCCAGGCUCUGAUGAACUUUCUUUCCAUUGUUCUGCAAGCAUAAGUGUUCACUCCACAGGUUCUUUAAUGCUCAUACUGAACUUUAAAUAGCUCUUGAGGAGUUCCCAUCCUGGAUUAGCAGUAACUAACCUGACUAGCAUCUGUGAGGAUUCGGGUUUGGCCCCUGAUCUCACUCAGUGGGUUAAGGAUCUGGCAUUGCUGUGAGCUGCGAUGUAGGUCGCAGAUACCACUCGGGUCCUGCGUUUCUGUGGCUGUGGUGUAGGCCGGAAGCUGCAGCUCUGAUUUGACUCCUAGCCUAGGAACUUCCAUGUGUUGUGGGUGUGGCCCUAAAAAGAUAGAUAAAUAAAUAAAUAAACAAACAAACUCUUUAGCAGCAUUCAUUUCAGGGACUAAUUUUCUCCUAAUAUGAACCUUGAAAACAUGAUGCUAAUUGAAAGAAGUCAGACACAAAGGCCAUGUAUUAUAUAAUUCCAUUGCUAUGACAUGUCCAGCAGAGGUGAAUCCGUAGAGAUAGAAAGCAAAUUGGUGGUUGCUGGGGGCUGGGGAAAGGGGAGGAAGGUGGGGAAACUGCUUAAUGGCUAAAGGGGUUUGCUCUGGAGUGAUGAAACUGUUCUGGAACUAGACAGAAGUAUUGGUUACACAAUGUUGUAAAUGCACUAAAUCCCACUGAAUUUUUUCACUUCAAAAUGGCUGGGUUUUAUGCUAUUCUGAAUUUUACCUUCUAUUGCCAACCUAAGAAAUGCCACAAAUAAAAAAAUUUAUCUUUUGU